UAACUUAACGAAUCGCAUGGCCUUGCGCUGGGAUGGUCCAUUCAAAUUUCUGCCCUAUCAACUUUCAAUCGUAUGGGCUUGGCUUACGAUGGUUUCAACGGGUAACGGGGAAUUAGGGUUCUAUUCCGGAGAGGGAGCCUGAGAAACGGUACCACAUCCAAGGAAGGCAGCAGGCGCGCAAAUUACCCAAUCCCGACACGGGGAGGUAGUGACAAUAAAUACUGAUACAGGGCUCUUUUGGGUCUUGUAAUUGGAAUGAGUACAAUUUAAAUCCCUUAACGAGGAACAAUUGGAGGGCAAGUCUGGUGCCAGCAGCCGCGGUAAUUCCAGCUCCAAUAGCGUAUAUUAAAGUUGUUGCAGUUAAAAAGCUCGUAGUUGAACUUCAGAUCUGGUUGAGUGGUCCGCUAACGGUGUGUUACUGCUUGACUGGGUCUUGUCUCUUGGUGAACCGUUGUGUUCUUUAUUGGAUGCUUCGGGGAACCAGGAUUUUACCUUGAGGAAAAAUUAGAGUGUCAAAGCAAGGCUAUGCCCGAAUACAUUAGCAUGGAAUAAUAGAAGUAGGACGGUGGUGGGUCCU
rnacentral:rRNA from 1 species